GAUGAACGCUGGCGGCGUGCCUAAUACAUGCAAGUCGAGCGAACAGACGAGGAGCUUGCUCCUCUGACGUUAGAGGCGGACGGGUGAGUAACACGUGGAUAACCUACCUAUAAGACAGGGAUAACUUCGGGAAACCGGAGCUAAUACCGGAUAAUAUAUUGAACCGGAUGGUGCAAGAGUGAAAGACGCUAUUGCGGUCAGUAAUAGAUGGAUCCGCGCCGCAUCAGCAAGUUGGUAAGGUGACGGCUUACCAAGGCAACGAUGCGGAGACGACCUGAGAGCGACGUCGCCCAGCCUGGCACUGAGACACGGCCCACACUCCUACGGGGGGCCGCAGCACGGACUCUUCCGCGAUGCACGAGAGCUUGAUGUAGCACCGCCGCGUGAGUCAUGAUGGUCUUCGGCCGGUAGAACUAUGUUAUUCGGGAAGAUCAAAUGUGUAUGUAACUAGGCUCGUAUUGACGGUACCUAAUCAGAAAGCCCCGGCUAACUACGUG
rnacentral:rRNA from 1 species